CCGGGGAGGCGCGGGAAGGGACGGUCGCGGGCCGGUGGCGUCGGGCAGCCCCUGGGCGACCCGAGGUUCCCUGUGCGCGCGCUGACCUGGCCAGCCCGCACCUGGGAGUUGUCCUUCUCAGGCUCCAGUUCUGAGGGGGUUAAAUGCACACGAGCCUGGGACUGAUCGGGUGCUGAGAACAUGGUUUUAUUGAAUAAAAAAAAGAGAAAAAGGAUGUGCUUCCUUUGAUGUGCAGAAGCCACAUCAAAAUUCAGUGCUGUAAAGGCUCAUGUACCUGCUGUAAGGGGUAGACAUUAUAGACAUUAAUAAAUGGUGCUCGUGCCAAAGCUA